rnacentral:rRNA from 1 species
GACGAACGCUGGCGGCGUGCUUAACACAUGCAAGUCGAACGGAAAGGCCCUGCUUUUGUGGGGUGCUCGAGUGGCGAACGGGGGAGUAACACGUGAGUAACCCGCCCUUGACUUUGGGAUAACUUCAGGAAACUGGGGCUAAUACCGGAUAGGAGCUCUUGCAGCAUGGUGGGGGUUGGAAAGUUUCGGCGGUUUGGGAUGGAUUCGCGGCUUAUCAGCUUGUUGGUGGGGUAGUGGCUUACCAGGGCUGUGACGGGUAGCCGGCCUGAGAGGGUGACCGGCCACCUUGCGCCUGCGGUACGGCCCAGACUCCUACGGGCGGCAGCAGUGGGGAAUAUUGCACAAUGGGCGGAAGCGUGAUGCAGCAACGCCGCGUGCGGGAUGCCGGCCUUCGGGUUGUAAACCACUUUCGCCUGUGACGAAGCCUGAGUGACGGUAAUGGGUAAAGAAGCACCGGCUAACUACGUG